GAGUUUGAUCGUGGCUCAGAUUGAACGCUGGCGGCAGGCCUAACACAUGCAAGUCGAGCGGUAGAGAGAAGCUUGCUUCUCUUGAGAGCGGCGGACGGGUGAGUAAUGCCUAGGAAUCUGCCUGGUAGUGGGGGAUAACGCUCGGAAACGGACGCUAAUACCGCAUACGUCCUACGGGAGAAAGCAGGGGACCUUCGGGCCUUGCGCUAUCAGAUGAGCCUAGGUCGGAUUAGCUAGUUGGUGAGGUAAUAGGCUCACCAAAGGCGACGAUCCGUAACUGGUCUGAGAGGAUGAUCAGUCACACUGGAACUGAGACACGGUCCAGACUCCUACGGGAGGCAGCAGUGGGGAAUAUUGGACAAUGGGCGAAAGCCUGAUCCAGCCAUGCCGCGUGUGUGAAGAAAGGUCUUCGGAUUGUAAAGGGCACUUUAAGUUGGGAGGAAGGGCAGUAAAUUAAUACUUUGCUGUUUUGACGUUACCGACAGAAU
rnacentral:rRNA from 1 species